AAGAGAACAAACCAAUGCAAUCAUCCCCAAGCCCAUUUAUUGGAGCCAUUGCAUAAAAGAGGGAACAGGAGAAAAGUUCUUCCUUUCUCAUUAGUUCAGUUCAUGGCACCCAUGUUCUUGAUCAACUGGCAUCUUCAUCUUUUGGGAGCAGAGAGAGAUUACUUUAUUCUCCCUAGAUUUAGAGAUGCUAACUAGUUCAGUAACAUCAUCAACAGAAGGAACCCUCAAAAAGGGUUUUGCUACUUCCCUGGCUUCCAAUGCCUUCCUUGCUCACUCUCAACCUCCAUCCCAAGCAAGUCAGAGAUCCCUAAGGACAAAUAGACAGAGCUGAAGAUCCCUGGUCAAUGCCCUUGGUUUAAAUACAAGCGUGUGCUGGAGUCAGUUCCAACUGGGACACUGUUAAAUUUUCAAGGAAGAAUUUCUACACAUGCAGCAGAGUUUCCUUAACCCUGCAACCUCAUGAUGAAAAAAUUCACAACUCGCAAGAACCCUGCCUACCUCAACGACAGACUGGAUUUGGAGAAAUUAUAGGUUGCGAGAAUGUUAACUUCAGGACUCCGCCACACAGCCGGGGCUGCCAGACGUGUUUAUUAUUGCUGCUGUGAGGAUGCUCUUGAAAAUAUCCUUUUCAGAGGAGGCAACUGGAAACAUGCAUCCAUCUCUCUGGUUUUGUGCAUGCAAAUUACAGGGUUCAGGAGGUGCUCACUAUUCUGAUUCGAGCAUACCUUGGGGCCACUCUUAACUGCACCUCAUCAAGGAGAGAUGUCACCCAAAUUUACCUCAGUCUACUCACAUUAAUCUGGCAUUUUGUCUCUCCACUCACAUUCUCCCUCACUCCUCUCUAUCACCCUUCAACAUUUGGCUAA
ensembl:lncRNA